AAAUCUGGCACUUUCAGUGUCCGAGUUGUAAUUUGAAGAAGGUAUCUUUGGGUCUGGCUCUUGUCUAUGUUUCUUGGAACAGAACGUCACAGAGGGUGAGAAUCCCGUGCGAUGAGAUGACCCAGACCUAUGUAAAGUUCCUUCGAAGAGUCGAGUUGUUUGGGAAUGCAGCUCUAAGUGGGUGGUAAAUUCCAUCUAAAGCUAAAUAUUGGCGAGAGACCGAUAGCGAACAAGUACAGUGAUGGAAAGAUGAAAAGAACUUUGAAAAGAGAGUGAAAAAGUACGUGAAAUUGUUGAAAGGGAAGGGCUUGAGAUCAGACUUGGUAUUUUGUAUGUUACUCUCUCGGGGGUGGCCUCUACAGUUUACCGGGCCAGCAUCAGUUUGGGCGGUAGGACAAUUGCAAAGAAAUGUGGCACUGCCUCGGUAGUGUGUUAUAGUCUUUGUCGAUACUGCCAGCCUAGACUGAGGACUGCGGCUUCGGCCUAGGAUGUUGGCAUAAUGAUCUUAAGUCGCCCGUCUUGAAACACGG
rnacentral:rRNA from 1 species